rnacentral:pre_miRNA from 1 species
UUCCUACUCCCUCCGUCCGGAAAUACUUGUCAUCAAAAUGGAUAAAAAGAGAUGUAUCUAGAACUAAAAUAUGUCUAGAUACAUCUUCUUUUAUUCAUUUUGAUGACAAGUAUUUUCGGACGGAGGGAGUACAUA